UAGGGAAUCUUCCACAAUGGCGCAAGCCUGAUGGAGCAACGCCGCGUGAGUGAAGAAGGUCUUCGGAUCGUAAAACUCUGUUGUUAGAGAAGAACACGAGUGAGAGUAACUGUUCAUUCGAUGACGGUAUCUAACCAGCAAGUCACGGCUAACUACGUGCCAG
rnacentral:rRNA from 1 species